rnacentral:lncRNA from 1 species
CUAAGCUGGCAAGAAUUGGGAAGAUGAAGAGAUAUGUGAUAUCAGUCAUCGUUCAUUGGCCUCGGAUCACUUGACUAUCCUGGAGGACUUAAGGGCUCCAGAAAAUUUGCAAAGGAUCUCCUGACUGCAGGCCUCAAAGGUCAUAGCUCCUAGAGAUAAGCCUUCAAGUCACCACAAGCUACCUUCAUAGCUGUUCAACCUUCCCUCACUCUCCACACUAUUGAAGGGUCCUCGCCUGCUGAUGUGUCAGCUUCCCUGUUCCUAGCAAAAGCUUUGGAAUGAAAAGAAGCAAACAAAGAUGCCUGAAAAGCCCAGAACCACAACUUCUGAGUUCGUCUUCUGAUGCAGGAAUAUUACAAUUGAGAGGAAAACAGAGAUAUAGAAAUUACCAAGAAAAAUCCAGAGCUAGCCAUUAUAUCAGGAACGAAGAAGCCAGUCACUGUGCUCUGGAGAGACAAAUUGCACAUUUGACAUGCAGUCACUUUGUGUAGGAAACAUUACUUCUGAAGAGAAUGAUACCUGGUGUUCUUUAAAGUACAACAUUGGACAAACAAAAGAAAAUGGAGCUAAAUUAUUAUUGAUCACCCAAGAGUCCCUCUGAGCUUGCAGAAUGACAAAGAUUCUUUUUUGAUUAAACUUUAGUCAGGCUCCUGAAC